GGAGUAAAAGUCGUAACAAGGUCUCCGUUGGUGAACCAGCGGAGGGAUCAUUAUCGAGUUUAUAACUCCCAAACCCUAUGUGAACUUACCACUUGUUGCUUCGGCGCGCGCUUCGGCGCCGCCGAGGACACUUAAACUCUUUGUUUUUAUAAGCAUUUCUGAGUGGCCGAAAGGCAAAAUACAAAUGAAUCAAAACUUUCAACAACGGAUCUCUUGGUUCUG
rnacentral:misc_RNA from 1 species